rnacentral:rRNA from 1 species
UACGGAGGGAGCUAGCGUUGUUCGGAAUUACUGGGCGUAAAGCGCGCGUAGGCGGCUAUUCAAGUCAGAGGUGAAAGCCCGGGGCUCAACCCCGGAACUGCCUUUGAAACUAGAUAGCUAGAAUCUGGGAGAGGUGAGUGGAAUUCCGAGUGUAGAGGUGAAAUUCGUAGAUAUUCGGAAGAACACCAGUGGCGAAGGCGGCUCACUGGACCAGUAUUGACGCUGAGGUGCGAAAGCGUGGGGAGCAAACAGG